rnacentral:rRNA from 1 species
AUUGAACGCUGGCGGAAUGCUUUACACAUGCAAGUCGAACGGCAGCACGGGGGCGAACCCUCGGUGGCGAGUGGCGAACGGGUGAGUAACACAUCGGAACGUGCCCACGUCGUGGGGGAGUAACGUAGCGAAAGCUACGCUAAUACCGCAUACGAACUCUGGUUGAAAGGCGGGGACGUCGCAAGGGCCUCGCGCGAUUGGAGCGGCCGAUGGCAGAUUAGGUAGUUGGUGGGUAAGGCCUACCAAGCCGACGAUCUGUAGCUGGUCUGAGAGGACGACCAGCCACACUGGGACUGAGACACGGCCCAGACUCCUACGGGAGGCAGCAGGUGGGGUAAUUUUGGACAAUGGGCGCAAGCCUGAUCCAGCCAUUCCGCGUGCAGGAUGAAGCCCUCGGGUUGUAAACUG